rnacentral:rRNA from 1 species
GACGAACGCUGGCGGCGUGCCUAACACAUGCAAGUCGAACGGAACUGUUUUGAAAGAUUUCUUCGGAAUGAAUUUGAUUUAGUUUAUUGGCGGACGGGUGAGUACCGCGUGGGUAACCUGCCUUCAAAAGGGGAAUAACAUUCGGAAAAGAAUGCUAAUACCGCAUAACAUAUCGAAACCACAGGUUUUUGAUAUCAAAGAUUUUAUCGCUUGAAGAUGGACUCGCGUCCGAUUAGUUAGUUGGUGAGGUAACGGCUCACCAAGACCGCGAUCGGUAGCCGGACUGAGAGGUUGAACGGCCACAUUGGGACUGAGACACGGCCCAGACUCCUACGGGAGGCAGCAGUGGGGGAUAUUGCGCAAUGGGGGCAACCCUGACGCAGCAACGCCGCGUGAAGGAUGAAGGUUUUCGGAUUGUAAACUUCUUUUAUUAAGGACGAAAAAUGACGGUACUUAAUGAAUAAGCUCCGGCUAACUACGUG